GCGUCGGUAACAGAGCGGUCGAUUGCGCCCGACGGUAAACCGGUUUCCGCGGACACGGUGGUUCGAAUCCAUCCCGGCGCA
rnacentral:tRNA from 1 species